AGUGAACGCUGGCGGUAUGCCUAACACAUGCAAGUCGAACGGCAGCACAGUAAGUGCUUGCUCUUACGGGUGGCGAGUGGCGGACGGGUGAGGUAUACAUCGGAAUCUACUUUUUCGUGGGGGAUAACGUAGGGAAACUUACUCUAAUACCGCAUACGACCUACUGGUGAAAGCAUGGGAUCUUCUGACCUUUCGCUAUUGAAUGAGCCGAUGUCGGAUUAGCUAGUUGGCGGGGUAAAGGCCCACCAAGGCGACGAUCCGUAGCUGGUCUGAGAGGAUGAUCAGCCACACUGGAACAGAGACACGGUACAGACUCCUACGGGAGGCAGCAGUGGGGAAUAUUGGACAAUGGGGGCAAGCCUGAUACAGCCGUACCGCGUGGGUGAAGAAGGCCUUCGGGUUGGAAAGACCUUUUGUUGGGAAAGAAAAGCAGCAGGUUAAUACCCAGCUGUUCUGACGGUAACCAAAGAAUAAGCACCGGCUAACUUCGUG
rnacentral:rRNA from 1 species